UACGUAGGGGGCUAGCGUUGUCCGGAUUUAUUGGGCGUAAAGAGCGUGUAGGCGGCCAGGUAGGUCUGGUGUGAAAACUCGAGGCUUAACCUCGAGAUGUCAUCGGAAACCAUCUGGCUAGAGUCCGGAAGAGGAGAGUGGAAUUCCUGGUGUAGCGGUGAAAUGCGCAGAUAUCAGGAAGAACACCAAUGGCGAAAGCAGCCUCUCGUGGGACGGUACUGACGCUGAGACGCGAAAGCGUGGGGAGCGAACAGG
rnacentral:rRNA from 1 species